rnacentral:lncRNA from 1 species
GCUAAUAGAAGUAGGAAGAGAAUGGACCUCGAGAGCAACAAAUCUUUGAAUUUGAAAGUGUUCGGACCGGAAACUUUAAUCUGCGACAAGGACUCAAAUCGGAAUCAACCUUGACGAAACUCCAGUUUUGAAAAACAAUAAAAAACUGAGGAAGAAAACAGAAUAAUCUUUGUUUGGCUAUGUUUCUAUGCCUCUCUUUUUAUGUCUGUGCGCCCUCUGUUAUGGAUGCGUGUGUGCGUGUUUUCUGGGUUCUUUUCUGAGAAGAAAGAGUACUUGGGUGCGUUGAGGAAGGCUAGCACCUGAAGGUGGCGGUGCGCGCUUGUACUCGUUCGAAAAUGGAGUGAGGGCUCGUUUGGAGGAAGGCAAAGGCGCUGGUGUGGGGGUCAGGGUUCAGCUAGG